AGAGCAAUCGAAGCAGUGAACUUAAGCCCCAGUAAACGGCGGCCGUAACUAUAACGGUCCUAAGGUAGCGAAAUUCCUUGUCGGGUAAGUGCCGACCCGCACGAAAGGCGUAACGAUUUGGGCACUGGCUCAACAACAGACUCGGUGAAAUUGUAAUUCCGGUGAAGAUGCCGGAUACCUGCGACAGGACGGAAAGACCCCAUGGAGCUUUACUGUAGCUUGACAUUGGGUCUUGGUACUACAUGUACAGGAUAGGUGGGAGGCUUUGAAACCAGGACGCCAGUUUUGGCGGAGCCAUCCUUGGGAUACCACCCUUGUAGUACUGGGACUCUAACCAUAGGCCAUGAAUCUGGUCUUGGGACACUGUCAGGUGGGCAGUUUGACUGGGGCGGUCGCCUCCCAAAAGG
rnacentral:rRNA from 1 species